UGCCCCUGGCAACAGGCAAAGACACACCUUGUUGUUGGUGUUCUUAUAGAGAGAGAGGCAAAGCCAAUGGCCAUUCUCUGUUCAUCCCAACUUAGUGCCUAGAUUGGUGGCCAACGCUGUUCUAUACCUAGAGCACAUAA
rfam:Mesocricetus auratus contig177427, whole genome shotgun sequence.